rnacentral:rRNA from 1 species
AGCGGCGGACGGGUGAGUAACGCGUGGGUAACCUGCCCUGUACACACGGAUAACAUACCGAAAGGUAUGCUAAUACGAGAUAAUAUGCUUUUAUCGCAUGGUAGAAGUAUCAAAGCUUUUGCGGUACAGGAUGGACCCGCGUCUGAUUAGCUAGUUGGUAAGGUAACGGCUUACCAAGGCGACGAUCAGUAGCCGACCUGAGAGGGUGAUCGGCCACAUUGGAACUGAGACACGGUCCAAACUCCUACGGGAGGCAGCAGUGGGGAAUAUUGCACAAUGGGCGAAAGCCUGAUGCAGCAACGCCGCGUGAGCGAUGAAGGCCUUCGGGUCGUAAAGCUCUGUCCUCAAGGAAGAUAAUGACGGUACUUGAGGAGGAAGCCCCGGCUAACUACGUGCCAGCAGCCGCGGUAAUACGUAGGGGGCUAGCGUUGUCCGGAAUUACUGGGCGUAAAGGGUGCGUAGGUGGUUUCUUAAGUCAGAGGUGAAAGGCUACGGCUCAACCGUAGUAAGCCUUUGAAACUGGGGAACUUGAGUGCAGGAGAGGAGAGUGGAAUUCCUAGUGUAGCGGUGAAAUGCGUAGAUAUUAGGAGGAACACCAGUUGCGAAGGCGGCUCUCUGGACUGUAACUGACACUGAGGCACGAAAGCGUGGGGAGCAAACAGGAUUAGAUACCCUGGUAGUCCACGCCGUAAACGAUGAGUACUAGCUGU